rnacentral:rRNA from 1 species
UACGUAGGGGGCAAGCGUUGUUCGGAUUUACUGGGCGUAAAGGGCGCGUAGGCGGCGUGGUAAGUCAGCUGUGAAAUCUCCGAGCUUAACUCGGAACGGUCAGCUGAUACUGCUGUGCUAGAGUGCAGAAAGGGCAAUCGGAAUUCUUGGUGUAGCGGUGAAAUGCGUAGAGAUCCGGAAGAACACCGGUGGCGAAGGCGGCCUGCUGGGCAGUAGCUGACACUGAGGCGCGACAGCGUGGGGAGCAAACAGG